rnacentral:rRNA from 1 species
UACAGAGGGUGCAAGCGUUAAUCGGAAUUACUGGGCGUAAAGCGUGCGCAGGCGGCCUUCCAAGUCAGGGGUGAAAGCCCAGAGCUCAACUCUGGAAUUGCCUUUGAGACUGUGAGGCUUGAGUACGAGAGAGGUGAGUGGAAUUCCCAGUGUAGAGGUGAAAUUCGUAGAUAUUGGGAAGAACACCGGUGGCGAAGGCGGCUCACUGGCUCGUAACUGACGCUCAUGCACGACAGCGUGGGGAUCAAACAGG